rnacentral:rRNA from 1 species
CUGGCGGAAUGCUUUCACAUGCAAGUCGAGCGGCAGCGCGGGGCACCUGGCGGCGAGCGGCGAACGGGUGAGUAAUGCAUCGGAACAUGUCCAUUUGUGGGGGAUAGCCCGGCGAAAGCCGGAUUAAUACCGCAUACGCCCGAGAGGGGAAAGCCGGGGACCGCAAGGCCUGGCGCGAAUGGGUUGGCCGAUGUCCGAUUAGCUAGUUGGCGGGGUAAGAGCCCACCAAGGCGAUGAUCGGUAGCUGGUCUGAGAGGAUGAUCAGCCACACUGGGACUGAGACACGGCCCAGACUCCUACGGGAGGCAGCAGUGGGGAAUUUUGGACAAUGGGGGCAACCCUGAUCCAGCCAUUCCGCGUGAGUGAAGAAGGCCUUCGGGUUGUAAAGCUCUUUUGUCCGGAACGAAACGGGUAGCGUGAAUAUCGCUGCCUACUGACGGUACCGGAAGAAUAAGCACCGGCUAACUACGUGCCAGCAGCCGCGGUAAU